AAUAACCUGUAAUAUGAUCAGUGUAGAUGGUAAAUUA
rnacentral:guide_RNA from 1 species